AUUAAUAUCCUCUUAUAACAUUGGAGGGCCGAACGCCGACGCCUGUGCUUGAGGGUUUGACGACGACGUGUGCGGCGCGGAGGCCACUCAGCGUGCGUGUCCGUAGGAUGCGGCGCCGGCUCCCUCGUCUCUUUUUGCAUGCCGUCCCGAGAGAUGGCGUGUUUCGGCCAAGAUGAGCACGCAUGGAGGCGGCCAUGGCGAGCACGCAUGGCUGCUGUCAUCAAUAACGUUCUGACGGAAGCCUUGUUCCUGCUUGAUGCACUCCUCAUGUAGCCUAUGGCUACACCUUGCCUCGAAACAUGAAGAUGGUUGGAGAAGAAGUGCAGGAACAGGACCUCAAAGCAAGCAGCAGGAGCGCCGCAGUAGGACUGGCCGCCGGCACUGACCUUGCGGUGGCCGGCGGUGGUAGUCGGUCUUCUGAUCACCUUGAGCGCCUUCUUUUAAGGAUCGGUUGUUAGCAAGUUGUAUUGACCCGGACAUGUGUGUGUGUUUCUAUUUUGAAGGGGUACAUCCUGCUCAUUA